GACGAACGCUGGCGGCGUGCUUAACACAUGCAAGUCGAGCGGAAAGGCCCUUCGGGGUACUCGAGCGGCGAACGGGUGAGUAACACGUGAGUAACCUGCCCUAGGCUCUGGGAUAACUGU
rnacentral:rRNA from 1 species